AUGCACGCUGGCGGCGUGCCUAAUACAUGCAAGUCGAGCGAACAGACGAGGAGCUUGCUCCUCUGACGUUAGCGGCGGACGGGUGAGUAACACGUGGAUAACCUACCUAUAAGACUGGGAUAACUUCGGGAAACCGGAGCUAAUACCGGAUAAUAUAUUGAACCGCAUGGUUCAAUAGUGAAAGACGGUUUUGCUGUCACUUAUAGAUGGAUCCGCGCCGCAUUAGCUAGUUGGUAAGGUAACGGCUUACCAAGGCAACGAUGCGUAGCCGACCUGAGAGGGUGAUCGGCCACACUGGAACUGAGACACGGUCCAGACUCCUACGGGAGGCAGCAGUAGGGAAUCUUCCGCAAUGGGCGAAAGCCUGACGGAGCAACGCCGCGUGAGUGAUGAAGGUCUUCGGAUCGUAAAACUCUGUUAUUAGGGAAGAACAAAUGUGUAAGUAACUAUGCACGUCUUGACGGCACCUAAUCAGAAAGCCACGGCUAACUACGUG
rnacentral:rRNA from 1 species